rnacentral:rRNA from 1 species
CAGUCGCCGCGGUAAUACAGAGGGUGCAAGCGUUAAUCGGAAUUACUGGGCGUAAAGCGCGCGUAGGUGGUUUGUUAAGUUGGAUGUGAAAGCCCCGGGCUCAACCUGGGAACUGCAUCCAAAACUGGCAAGCUAGAGUACGGUAGAGGGUGGUGGAAUUUCCUGUGUAGCGGUGAAAUGCGUAGAUAUAGGAAGGAACACCAGUGGCGAAGGCGACCACCUGGACUGAUACUGACACUGAGGUGCGAAAGCAUGGGGAGCAAACAGGAUUAGAUACCCGGGUAGUCCCUGUCUCUUAUAC